rnacentral:rRNA from 1 species
AGUCUGGUGCCAGCAGCCGCGGUAAUUCCAGCUCCAAUAGCGUAUACUUAAGUUGUUGCAGUUAAAAAGCUCGUAGUUGGAUCUCGGGGCAGUGCUGAUCUGGUUCGCCUGGAUGGUGAGUACUGGUCGGCCUGUCCUUCCUUACUAGUAACUCGGCUCUGUCCUUAAGUGGGUGGGGUUUCAGCGGGGUUUCGGCUCUGUGGGGUUCUAGUUCAUUUACUUUGAAAAAAUCAGAGUGUUCAAAGCAGGCGUUUGCCGUGAAUACGUUAGCAUGGGAUAAUGGAAUAAGACCUUGUUCUUAUUUUGUUGGUUUCUAAGGACAUCGUAAUGAUUAAUAGGGACAGUUGGGGGCAUUAAUAUUUAAUUGUCAGAGGUGAAAUUCUUGGAUUUAUGAAAGAUUAACUUCUGCGAAAGCAUUUGUCAAGGAUGUUUUCAUUAAUCAAGAACGAAAGUUAGGGGAUCGAAGACGAUCAGAUACCGUCGUAGUCUUAACCAUAAACUAUGCCGACCAGGGAUUGGAUGACGUUACAUGGAUGACUCCUCCAGCACCUUGCGAGAAAUCACAAGUUUUUGGGUUCCGGGGGGAGUAUGGUCGCAAGGCUGAAACUUAAAGGAAUUGACGGAAGGGCACCACCAGGAGUGGAGCCUGCGGCUUAAUUUGACCCAACACGGGAAAACUUACCAGGUCCAGACAUAGGAAGGAUUGACAGAUUGAGAGCUCUUUCUUGAUUCUAUGGUUGGUGGUGCAUGGCCGUUCUUAGUUGGUGGAGUGAUUUGUCUGGUUAAUUCCGUUAACGAACGAGACCUUAACCUGCUGAAUAGUUAUGGGAACGCUUCGUUGCUUCGGCGGCGAUGAGUUUCUAGAUACACUUCUUAGAGGGACUAUUCGUUUCCAGCGAAUGGAAGUUUGAGGCAAUGACAGGUCUGUGAUGCCCUUAGAUGUUCUGGGCCGCACGCGCGCUACACUGAUACGUUCAACGAGUUCCACACCUUGCCCGAUGGGGUUGGGUAAUCUUUUGAAAUCGUAUCGUGCUGGGGAUAGGAGAUUGCAAUUAUUCUCCUUCAACGAGGAAUUCCUAGUAAGCGUGAGUCAUUAGCUCGCGUUGAUUACGUCCCUGCCCUUUGUACACACCGCCCGUCGCUACUACCGAUUGGAUGAACUGGUGAAAUGCUCGGAUCGAGACCGCACGCUUCUGGUUCGCCGGGGGUUUGGUUUUGAGAAGUUCAGUAAACCUAUUCAUCUAGAGGAAGUAAAAGUC